CGCACGGUAGAUUUUGCUAUAUGUUUUCAUACAGGUUUCCUUUAAGGGAUAUAAAUACCCUAUGUUGUCAUUUUUACAGUUCCUUAUAGUGCCCAUGAGGGGUGUUUUACAUGACUUAGAUUGUGUUGAAGUAACCGACUGUCUUGUCUGUUAAUAUACAGCUAUAAAAUUUAGACUAUGUGCACAGUGUGAGAUGUAAAAUUACACUUUGAUAUCAGCUGGCCAAGAUUUUAUCAAACUGACCUUCUUACAUGCCAUUGGAUGAACAGCUAUUAGAUUUGAACCAUGUGUACAGUUUAAGGUUAUUGUUUCCAGCACUUUUAAGUGUUGAGAAUUGAGUAACACUCAAGUCGGUGCUCUGAUGCGUGAGGGAUGUUGCACUUUUUCAUUAUCCCUCAUGUACAGACUUAAUCAAACCGAGUCUUCAAUUUUCGUGUCAUUUUGCUGUAUUUAAUGCUUCCGAGGGAUAAAUUUUUCCAGGUAUUUGAUAUCAGCUGACCCAAAUAAUUUGUCGAAGUGACCUAUUUUCUUAUCUUUUGAUGUACAGCUAUGAAAUUUGGACAAUGUGCACAAUUUUGUAUAUAAAAUUGAACUUUGAUAUCAGCUGACCUAAAUGUUGAUAAGGUGAGCUACUUUUAUUAUUUCAUUUGAUAUACAGCUAUAUAAUAUGGACCAUGUGCACAGAUUUACAAUCAACAAAUUGUUCUACAUGAUCUAAUAUCAAAAUUUUCACACGAAUAUGUUGGCCAUUGACCUUUAACAUAGAUUCUCUAAGUAUUAGCUCUUUGUGAAUUGACUAAAUGGUAAGUGCUACUAGUGUAAUUUUUUUCGUUAUGACAUCUUAAAAAUAGUAUUCAUUUGUAAUGUAAAUAAAUUUUUUAAACAUAUUACGUUUGAAAUUUGAGCAUUGUUUUAUUCGAAGUGUCUAAAGCAAUGUUUAUAUUAAACACACGUAUAGUAACAAGUAUCUGUAAAGGCAUAACAUAGACAUCAUCAUUUAAUAGAUCAAUUAUGUGUCAUCUUUCACAAUGCAGCGGGUACACAAAUUUGGAAUCAGCACUUUUGAUAUAGAUCUAGUCAUCCUCUAAUUAAUAAUAAUAUAUUGAUAAUAAGAAUGACUUUAUUUUAUUCUCUAGUGUUUUAAAAUUAACAUUUAUGUUGGAUGAUGGAUUUUGGUAAAUAUUCCAGUAAAACCACAAGUGAUAUCUUUAAUAACAAGGAAGAAUGGUUUUAUAGUGGAAGGAAUGUCACCAUCAAACAUGGCCACAACUGAGGUAGGAGAUGAGUUGGAACUGACAUGUACUGCUAAUAUAGGAAGCUGUUCAACAACCAUAAUUCGCUGGCAUAGAACUUCUGAAACUUCACCUAGCGAUGAAUUCAUUGACUAUCAACCGCCACAAGGUACCUUUGAUGAGGGCACAGCAACCAGUGAUAAUCAUUGUGGAUAUACUAGAGUUGCUUCAAUCUGAUACCACGUUACAACAGUCGAUGCUAACAGGGAUAACAAUUUGGCAUUCGAAUGUUCCGUUAGAGUUGGUGGAGAUCCAUAUGGAAAAUCUUACACAUCUGAACACAAUCCGAGAUUCUAUACUGAUGUCACUAAGCAAGACAAUGGAAACACAAGUUCUAAAAUUGAUGAGAAUCCUUUCAUGGCAUUCACUGGCGUUUUAACGGCUGCUUUAGUGGGGGCUGUGGUUUCCGCAUUAGUUGUUGGGAUUCUUUUAGGAGUGGUUUUAACAAAGUGUUAUCAACGUUUUAUAGGAACAGGAGACAGGACGAAUUAUCAGCCUCAACAAAUUGAGUUUCAAGAAACAGAGAUAAGUGAUGUGGCCCUGCCAGCGAAUACGUAUGAACAACUUCAAAACAGAACGAAUACGGAGGGAAGAAUGACCUACGACUCGC